rnacentral:tRNA from 3 species
UGGGGCGUCGCCAAGCGGUAAGGCACCUGGUUUUGGUCCAGGCAUCCGGAGGUUCGAAUCCUUCCGCCCCAG